rnacentral:lncRNA from 1 species
CCCCUUCUGCGGUCCCCUCCAUUGUCUGCGUGACAAAGUGGACGUAGAACUCCCCCAUUUCCUGCCCAGGGCGGGUGAGGACCCUGCACACACACGGUGUGUUUGUGAGCUGUGCAGAGUGGGGUCUCCCUGGCAAUGGCCACAGCCUCCAGGGGCGCUGACACCUCCCGUCUAACUGGUAGACAGUUUCUGCCUCUUCUUGUUUGGGGAUUGGAGAGGGAAGUGCGUCUGGAUGACUACUAAGAUGAGGAGGCUAAGGCCUAGUGCUCCCAGGGGGCUUGGUCAAGAGCAGGAGGCAGAGGUGGUGGAAGGCUGUUUCCCUGCGAGAAUACGCUGCAUCGAACACAGAACAAAAAGACUCACUACAACGCUGCAGCCACAAUAGUGUGUGAUUUCAAGUCUUAAAAACCAGAAUCACUUUCUUCUCUGGACUGGAAGCAUAUUUAUUU